rnacentral:rRNA from 1 species
ACAACUUUCAGUAAUGGAUCUCUUGGCUCUUGCAUUGAUGAAAAAUGCAGCAAAAUGUGAUAAAUAAUGUGAAUUGCAGAAUUCAGUGAAUCAUCAAAUCUUUGAACACACCUUGUGCUUCUUGGUAUUAUGAGGAGCAUUCUUGGUAUUAUGAGGAGCAUGCCUGUUUAAGUGUCAUUAAAUUCUCAAUCUUAACCAGCUUUUGUGAGUUGGUUUAGGCUUGGAUGUGGGGGUUUUUGCAGGCUUCUUAAGAAGUCAGCUCCCUUUAAAUGCAUUAGUGGAACCCUUUAUUGGCCUGUUUCUGGUGUAAUAAUUAUUUACAUUGUGUGCAGUCAACUUUAUUCUAAUGGGCUUUUCUGCUUCUAACUUGUACUUCCUCUUUAUUGAGGAAGAUGCUUUUGACCAUUUGACCUCAAAUCAGGUAGGACUAUCUGCUGAACUUAAGCAUAUCAAUAAGUAAAGAAAAAGAAACUAAUAAGGAUUCCUCUAGUAAUUGUGAGUGAAGCAGGAAAAGCUCAAAUUUAAAAUCUAGUAGUCUCUGGCUGCCUGAAUUGUAAUCUAGAGAAGCAUUAUCCAUGCUGGACUGUGUAUAAGUGUCCUGGAAUGGACCAUUAUAGAGAGUGAGAAUCCCAUCUUUGACAUGGACUCCCAGGGCUUUGUGAUAUACUCUCAAAGAGUUGAGGUUAUUUGGGAAUGCAGCUCUAAAUGGAUGAUAAAUUCCAUCUAAAGCUAAAUAUUGGCAAAAGACCAAUAGCAAACAAGUACCAUGAGGGAAAGAUGAAAAGAACUUUAGAAAGAGAGUUAAACAGUACAUGAAAUUGCUGAAAGAGAAAUGCUUGAAGUCAGUUGCAUUAGCUGGAGAUUAAUCUUGCUUUUCUACUUGGCUUACUCCCCAGUUGAUGGGUCAGCAUCAGUUUUGACCAAUGGAUAAAGGCUUAGGGGAAUGUAGCACCUCUGGGUAUAUUAUAGCCCUUAGUCAUAUACAUUGGUUGGGACUGAAGAACUCAGCACUUCUGCUUAGGAUGCUGGCAUAAUGGCUUUAAGCAACCUGUCUUGAAAUAUGGACCAAGGAGUCUAACAUGCCCACAAGUGUUUGGGUGGAAAAUCCAAGCACAUAAUAAAAGUAAAAAGUUGAGAUCUCUGUUAUGGGGAGCAUCAAUGCCCAGACCAGACCUUUUGUAAUGGAUCCAUGGUAGAGCAUGUAUGUUGGAACCCAAAAGAUGGUGAACUAUGCCUGAAUAUGGUGAAGCUAGAGGAAACUCUGGUGGAAGCUCAUAGUGAUUCUAAUAUACAAAUUAAUCAUCAAAUUUGGGUAUAGGGGUGAAAAACUAAUUAAACCAUCUAGUAGCUAGUUCCUGCCAAAGUUUCCCUCAGAAUAGUAGAAACUUGUAUCAAAUUUAUGUGGUAAAGCAAAUAAUUAGAGGCCUUGGGGUUGUAACAACCUUAACUUAUUCUCAAACUUUAAAUAUAUAAGAAUGAGCUGUCUCUUAGUUGAAUCACUUAGUGAUUGAGAGUUUCUAGUGGGCCAUUUUUGGUAAGCAGAACUGAUGAUGUGGAAUGCACCAAACAUGAGGUUAAGGUGCCAGAAUUCAUGCUCAUCAGAUACCACAAAAGGUGUUAAUUCAUCUAGACAGCAAGAUGGUGGCCAUGGACUUUGGAAUCCGCUAAGAAGUGUAUAACAACUCACUUGCUGAAUGAACUAGCCCUGAAAAUGGAUAGCACUUAAGCAUGAUACCCAUACCUUGCUGUCAGCAUUUAAGUGAUGUGCUGAUGAGUAGGCAGGUGUAGAGGUCAGUGAAGAAGCCUUGGCAGUGAUGCUGGAUGAAACAGCCUCUAAUGCAGAUCUUGGUGAUAGUAGCAAAUAUUCAAGUGAGAAUCUUGAAGACUGAAGUGGAGAAAGGUUCCAUGGUAAUAGCAGUUAGACAUGGGUCAGUCAAUCCUAAGAGAUAAGGAAGCUCCAUUUCAAAGUGCAUAAUUCUUUGUGCCACCUAUCAAAAGGGAAUCCAGUUAAAAUUCCAGAACCAAGAUGUAGAUCUUUAAUGGCAACAUAACUAAAUUUGGAGACACUGGCAGGGGCCCCAGAAAGAGUUAUCUUUUCUCCUUAACAGCUUAUAACCCUGAAAUUGAUUUGUUCAGAGCUAGGAUUCAAUGGCUAGUAGAGCACAACACUUCUGUUGUGUCUAGUGCAUUCUUGACAGUUCUUGAAAAUCCAAUAAAAUGAAUAAUUUUCACACCUAGUUAUACUCAUAACUGCAGCAGGUCUCUAAAGUGAACAGCCUCUAGUUAAUAGAACAAUGUAAAUAAGGGAAGUCGGCAAAAUAGAUCUGUAACUUUGGGAAAAGGAUUGGCUCUAAGGGUUGGGUGUGUUGAGCUUUGGUAAAAAGCCUUGGAACCCAGCUAGGACUGCUUAGGGGGCAACUUCUUCAUGGACCUGGCUAGGACCUGACAGUGGAUGACCUUGGCUGCCUUUCAGGGCUAAUUAAAACAUAGCAUUGCAAUGGCUAAAAAAUAGUGUUAAUGCAAUGUGAUUUCUGCCUAGUGCUCUAAAUGUUAAAGUGAAGAAAUUCAACCAAGUGUGGGUAAAUGGUGGAAGUAACUAUGACUCUCUUAAGGUAGCCAAAUGCCUCAUCAUCUAAUUAGUGAUGUGCAUGAAUGGAUUAACAAGAUUCCCACUGUCCCUAUCUACUAUCUAGCAAAACCACAGCCAAGAAAACAGGCUUGGCAGAAUCAGCAGGAAAAGAAGACUCUAUUGAGCUUGACUCUAGUUUGACAUUGUAAAAAGACAUAGAGUGUGUAGAAUAAGUGAGAGCUUUGGUGCUAUUGAAAUACCACUACCUUUAUUGUUUUUUUACUUAUUCAAUAAGGUGGAGUUGGGAUUAAUAGUCCCACCUUUUAGCUUCAAGGUCCUUUAUGGGCUGAUCUAGGUUGAAGACAUUGUCAGGUGGGGAAUUUGGCUGGGGUGGCACAUCUAUUAAAAGAUAACACAGGUGUUCUAAGGGGGACUCAUUGAGAACAGAAAUCUCAAAUAGAACAAAAGGGUAAAAGUUCCCUUGAUUUUGAUUUUUAGUGUGAAUACAAACCAUGAAAGUGUGGCCUAUCAAUCCUUUAGUUCCUUGGAAUUUGAGGCUAGAGGUGCCAGAAAAGUUACCACAGGGAUAAUUGGCUUGUGGCAGCUAAGCAUUCAUAAUAACAUUGCUUUUUGAUCCUUUGAUGUUGGCUCUUUCUAUCAUACUAAAGCAGAAUUUGGUAAGCAUUGGAUUGUUUACCCACUAAUAGAGAACAUGAGCUGGGUUUAGACUAUUGUGAGAUAGGUUAGCUUUACCCUACUGAUAGAGUGUUAUUGUAAUAGUAAUUGAACUUAAUACAAGAGGAACUAUUCAUUCAGAUAUUUAGUAUUUGUGCCUAUCCAAUUGGGCAAUGGCAUAAAGCUAUCAUCUACUGGAUUAUAGCUGAAUGCCUCUAAACCAGAAUCCAUGCUAGAAACAAUGAUGUUGGUUCCGCAUAUUUGACUUGAGUUGAAAUAGAGCUUUGCUCAUGAAUCAAAUUAGGUGGACUUGGUUGUCAUGGGCAGAAAUGCUUUAGCAGCUUAUCUACAAAUUUGCAAUCAUAAUAUGGGCAAGGGU